rnacentral:rRNA from 1 species
AAGUUUGAUGGCGACCGGCGCACGGGUGAGUAACACGUAUCCAACCUGCCGAUGACUCGGGGAUAGCCUUUCGAAAGAAAGAUUAAUACCCGAUGGCAUAGUUCUUCCGCAUGGUGGAACUAUUAAAGAAUUUCGGUCAUCGAUGGGGAUGCGUUCCAUUAGGUUGUUGGCGGGGUAACGGCCCACCAAGCCUUCGAUGGAUAGGGGUUCUGAGAGGAAGGUCCCCCACAUUGGAACUGAGACACGGUCCAAACUCCUACAGGAGGCAGCAUG